rnacentral:lncRNA from 1 species
AAAGGGCCCGAGCCUAGCGUCCAUGUAGACCGGUCGCCGGCGCUGCGUAGACCCAGCGCCCUCGAGACUCCGCAGGCCCGGUCCGCGGGAGCCCCCGUGCCUGCGGCGGUCACAACACAGAACAAGAAUCAAGACGAAAACCAGAGAAAGUGUUCGGUUCAGCUAAGCACAGCGGUGAAGGCUCAGGAAGACGGAGCCUAAGUUCUGCACAGCCUGAUGGAGUACCUGUCCCUGCCCACGAGGGAUCCAAGGACUUUAAGGGGCUGUGUCCCUUGUCAUUAAAGAAGGGGAAAGCUUUCACAGGUGGCAACUGUGUCUCUUCCCCACGAGUGCGGGGCCCCAGCCUCACAGUCUUUCAAGAUUGGCUAGUUUUAAAUGGAUCUUGGCAAAGGAAAGGAAGGCUCAGCUGCAUCAGGACUGUUCAGUUCUGGGAAGGGGUUGGCGGGAUGCUUUGCAAAAUCAAAAGGUGGGGGAGAUUUACAAAAACAUUUUGUAAGUUGGAGGAAUUUAAAGGUUUGAAUUCCUUUGCAUAAAAGUUCCUACAA